AUUGAACGCUGGCGGCAUGCCUUACACAUGCAAGUCGAACGGCAGCACGGGUGCUCGCACCUGGUGGCGAGUGGCGAACGGGUGAGUAAUAUAUCGGAACGUACCUUAUUGUGGGGGAUAACGCAGCGAAAGCUGUGCUAAUACCGCAUAAUCCCUAAGGGGGAAAGCGGGGGACCGUAAGGCCUCGCGCAAUUAGAGCGGCCGAUACCUGAUUAGCUAGUUGGUGAGGUAAAGGCUCACCAAGGCAACGAUCAGUAGCUGGUCUGAGAGGACGGUCAGCCACACUGGGACUGAGACACGGCCCAGACUCCUACGGGAGGCAGCAGUGGGGAAUUUUGGACAAUGGGGGCAACCCUGAUCCAGCAAUGCCGCGUGAGUGAAGAAGGCCUUCGGGUUGUAAAGCUCUUUUGUCAGGGAAGAGACAGCAGCUCUAACACAGUUUGCGAAUGACGGUACCUGAAGAAUAAGCACCGGCUAACUACGUGCCAGCCGCCGCCGUAA
rnacentral:rRNA from 1 species